CUCGCAACGACCGUACCGCAAACCGACACUGGUGCGCGAGAUGAGUAUUCUAAGGCGCUUGAGAGAACUCAGGAGAAGGAACUCGGCAAAUUGACACCGUAACUUCGGAAGAAGGUGUGCCCUAUUAGUGUGAAGUGAACAACGGAGCAUGAAUGGGUUGCAAAAAAUCGGUGGCUGCGACUGUUUAUUAAAAACACAGCACUCUGCAAACACGAAAGUGGACGUAUAGGGUGUGACGCCUGCCCGGUGCUGGAAGAUUAAAUGAUGGGGUGCAAGCUCUUGAUUGAAGUCCCAGUAAACGGCGGCCGUAACAAUAACGGUCCUAAGGUAGCGAAAUUCCUUGUCGGGUAAGUUCCGACCUGCACGAAUGGCGUAACGAUGGCCACACUGUCUCCUCCUGAGACUCAGCGAAGUUGAAAUGUUUGUGAUGAUGCAAUCUCCCCGCGGAAAGACGGAAAGACCCCAUGAACCUUUACUGUAGCUUUGUAUUGGACUUUGAACAGAUCUGUGUAGGAUAGGUGGGAGGCUUUGAAGCAGGGUCGCUAGAUCUUGUGGAGCCAACGUUGAAAUACCACCCUGGUGUGUUUGAGGUUCUAACCUAGGUCCAUUAUCUGGAUCGGGGACAGUGCAUGGUAGGCAGUUUGACUGGGGCGGUCUCCUCCCAAAGCGUAACGGAGGAGUUCGAAGGUACGCUAGUUACGGUCGGACAUCGUGACGAUAGUGCAAUGGCAUAAGCGUGCUUAACUGCGAGACUGACAAGUCGAGCAGAUGCGAAAGCAGGACAUAGUGAUCCGGUGGUUCUGUAUGGAAGGGCCAUCGCUCAACGGAUAAAAGGUACUCUGGGGAUAACAGGCUGAUACCGCCCAAGAGUUCAUAUCGACGGCGGUGUUUGGCACCUCGAUGUCGGCUCAUCUCAUCCUGGGGCUGUAGCCGGUCCCAAGGGUAUGGCUGUUCGCCAUUUAAAGAGGUACGUGAGCUGGGUUUAAAACGUCGUGAGACAGUUUGGUCCCUAUCUUCCGUGGGCGCUGCAGAUUUGAGGAAGCCUGCUCCUAGUACGAGAGGACCGGAGUGGACACACCUCUGGUGUAUCGGUUGUCACGCCAGUGGCAUUGCCGAGUAGCUAAGUGUGGAAGAGAUAACCGCUGAAAGCAUCUAAGCGGGAAACUCGUUUCAAGAUGAGAUCUGCCGGGGCCUUGAGCCCCCUGAAGAGUCGUUCAAGACCAGGACGUUGAUAGGUCAGGUGUGGAAGCGCAGUAAUGCGUUAAGCUAACUGAUACUAAUUGCUCGUGCGGCUUGACCA
rnacentral:rRNA from 1 species